rnacentral:tRNA from 1 species
ACGGGUGUAGCUCAAUUGGUAGAGUAGCGGUCUCCAAAACCGUUGGCUGUGGGUUCGAGUCCUACCACCCGUGCUA